AACGAACGCUGGCGGUAUGCUUAACACAUGCAAGUCGAACGAACAAACUUGGAGCUUGCUUCGAGUUUAGUGAGUGGCAAACGGGUGAGUAACACGUGGGAAUCUACCCAUCAGUACGGAAUAACUCUUGGAAACAGGUGCUAAUACCGUAUACCUUCUACGGAAGAAAGAUUUAUCGCUGAUGGAUGAGCCCGCGCAAGAUUAGGUAGUUGGUAGGGUAAUAGCCUACCAAGCCUACGAUCUUUAGCUGGUCUGAGAGGACGAUCAGCCACACUGGGACUGAGACACGGCCCAGACUCCUACGGGAGGCAGCAGUGGGGAAUAUUGGACAAUGGGCGAAAGCCUGAUCCAGCAAUACCGCGUGAAUGAUGAAGGCCUUAGGGUUGUAAAGUUCUUUUAGUAGGGAAGAUAAUGACGGUACCUACAGAAAAAGCUCCGGCUAACUCCG
rnacentral:rRNA from 1 species